rnacentral:rRNA from 1 species
UCGAUGAAGAACGCAAGCGAAAUGCGAUAAGUAAUGCGAAUUGCAGAAUUCAGUGAGUCAUCGAAUCUUUGAACGCACAUUGCGCCCUGUGGUAUUCCGCAGGGCAUGCCUGUUCGAGCGUCAUUUCAACCCUCAAGCCUCGCUUGGUGUUGGGCCCUGCCCGCCGCGGCCGGCCCUAAAGAUAGUGGCGGCGCCGCCUGGCCCUCAGCGUAGUACAUCUCUCGCUCCAGGGUCCGGCGGCAGCCUGCCAGAACCCCCCAACUCUGUGGUUGACCUCGGAUCAGGUAGGGAUACCCGCUGAACUUAA